GACGAACGCUGGCGGCGUGCUUAACACAUGCAAGUCGAACGGAAAGGCCCUGCUUUUGUGGGGUGCUCGAGUGGCGAACGGGUGAGUAACACGUGAGUAACCUGCCCUUGACUUUGGGAUAACUUCAGGAAACUGGGGCUAAUACCGGAUAGGAGCUCCUGCUGCAUGGUGGGGGUUGGAAAGUUUCGGCGGUUGGGGAUGGACUCGCGGCUUAUCAGCUUGUUGGUGGGGUAGGGGCUUACCAAGGGUUUGACGGGUAGCCGGCCUGAGAGGGUGGCCGGGCACAUGGCUCCUGCGAUACGCACCAGACGCCUACGGGGGGCAGCAGGCGGGAGUAUUGCACAAUGGUCGCACGCCUGAUGCAGCGACGCCGCGUGCGUGAUGACGGCCUUCGGGUUGUAAACCGCUUUCGCCUGUGACGAAGCGUGAGUGACGGUAAUGGGUAAAUAAGCACCGGCUAACUACGUG
rnacentral:rRNA from 1 species